AUCUUCAGGGCAGGGUGAGCAAUUUGCAAAUCCCGACCGGUGGUGACAGUCCACGAGAGUUUUUUAACUUUGAAUCGGUGUAAUUCCGAUACCGACAGUAUAGUCUGGAUGGAAGAAG
rnacentral:ncRNA from 1 species